rnacentral:tRNA from 1 species
GCCGAAGUGGCGAAACUGGCAGACGCACAGGACUUAAAAUCCUGCGGUUAGAAAUAACCGUACCGGUUCGAUUCCGGUCUUCGGCACCA